rnacentral:rRNA from 1 species
GGGUCCUACGGGGGGCAGCAGUGAGGAAUAUUGGUCAAUGGGCGAGAGCCUGACCCAGCCAAGUCGCGUGAGGGAGUACUGCCCUAUGGGUUGUAAACCUCUUUUGUCGGGGAGCAAAAGCCGGACGUGUCCGGCUGUGAGAGUACCCGAAGAAAAAGCAUCGGCUAACUCCGUGCCAGCAGCCGCGGUCAUACGGAGGAUGCGAGCGUUAUCCGGAUUUAUUGGGUUUAAAGGGUGCGCUGGCGGAGUUGCAGGU